rnacentral:rRNA from 1 species
GACGAACGCUGGCGGCGUGCCUAAUACAUGCAAGUAGAACGCUGAAGCUUGGUGCUUGCACCGAGCGGAUGAGUUGCGAACGGGUGAGUAACGCGUAGGUAACCUGCCUGGUAGCGGGGGAUAACUAUUGGACACGAUAGCUAAUACCGCAUAAGAGUAGAUGUUGCAUGACAUUUGCUUAAAAGGUGCAAUUGCAUCACUACCAGAUGGACCUGCGUUGUAUUAGCUAGUUGGUGAGGUAACGGCUCACCAAGGCAACGAUACAUAGCCGACCGGAGAGGGUGAGCGGCCACACUGGGACUGAGACACGGCCCAGACGCCUACGGGAGGCAGCAGGAGGGAUACGUCGGCAAGGGACGGAAGUCUGACCGAGCAACGCCGCGGGAGUGAAGAAGGUUGUCGGAUCGUAAAGCUCGGUUGUAAGAGAAGAACGAGUGUGAGAGUGGAAAGUUCACACUGUGACGGUAUCUUACCAGAAAGGGACGGCUAACUACGUG